GUUGAUAUUGGUCACUCAGUAUCAGAGAAAGAGUUAUGCCAUUUUUACUCCUUUGGGUAAAAUCAAUUUUAACUAGCAUCCUAUUUUUAAAAACCUUUCAAUGGCCUUUUUUCCCAGAUGAUGAAGAAGUUACACCAGCAAGAGCUGUAUCUCGUCAUUUUGAGGAUACUAGUUAUGGCUAUAAAGAUUUCUCUAGACAUGGGAUGCAUGUUCCAACAUUUCGUGUCCAGGACUAUUGCUGGGAAGAUCAUGGUUAUUCUUUGGUAAAUCGCCUUUAUCCAGAUGUGGGACAGUUGAUUGAUGAAAAAUUUCACAUUGCUUACAAUCUUACUUAUAAUACAAUGGCAAUGCACAAAGAUGUUGAUACCUCAAUGCUUAGACGGGCAAUUUGGAACUAUAUUCACUGCAUGUUUGGAAUAAGAUAUGAUGAUUAUGACUAUGGUGAAAUUAACCAGCUAUUGGAUCGUAGCUUUAAAAUUUAUAUCAAAACUGUUGUUUGCACUCCUGAAAAGGUUACCAAAAGAAUGUAUGAUAGCUUCUGGAGGCAGUUCAAGCACUCUGAGAAGGUAUGUGCCUAUUGUGGCUUGUUUACUUUGUAACUUAGCAAUGAUUCGUAGUCUCCUUCACCUAACCUAAUGGUGCUGAAACCCUUUCCAUCACCCCUACCAACCCAAAGAAAAACAUUCCAGGACAGCUGUCUCAGGUACCCCUUCAGAAGGGAACCUGAUUAUGUUGAUAGAGUAAAA
rnacentral:sRNA from 1 species